GCCCGCCUAGCUCAAUCGGCCAGAGCGUCAGACUUUUACGGAUGUUAUAUCCUUAAGUCAUCUGAAGGCUGCGAGUUCGACCCUCGCGGUGGGCU